rnacentral:rRNA from 1 species
GACGAACGCUGGCGGCGGGCUUAACACAUGCAAGUCGAACGAGAAUCCUGGCUUCGGCCAGGAGGACAGUGGCGCACGGGUGCGUAACGCGUAGGCAACCUACCCUCAAGCGGGGGACAACUCUCGGGAAACCGGAGCUAAUACCGCAUGAAGUCUAGAUAUCGCAUGGUAUUUAGAUGAAAGCCUUCGGGCACUUGAGGAUGGGCCUGCGUCGGAUUAGUUAGUUGGUGAGGUAACGGCUCACCAAGGCAACGAUCCGUAGCUGGUCUGAGAGGAUGAUCAGCCACACUGGCACUGAGACACGGGCCAG